AGUGAACGCUGGCGGUAGGCCUAACACAUGCAAGUCGAACGGCAGCACAGGAGAGCUUGCUCUCUGGGUGGCGAGUGGCGGACGGGUGAGGAAUACAUCGGAAUCUACUCUGUCGUGGGGGAUAACGUAGGGAAACUUACGCUAAUACCGCAUACGACCUACGGGUGAAAGCAGGGGAUCUUCGGACCUUGCGCGAUUGAAUGAGCCGAUGUCGGAUUAGCUAGUUGGCGGGGUAAAGGCCCACCAAGGCGACGAUCCGUAGCUGGUCUGGGAGGAUGAUCAGCCACACUGGAACUGAGACACGGGCGAGACUCCUACGGGAGGCAGCAUUGGGGAAUAUUGGACAAUGGGCGCAAGCCUGAUCCAGCCAUACCGCGUGGGUGAAGAAGGCCUUCGGGUUGUAAAGCCCUUUUGUUGGGAAAGAAAUCCAGCUGGCUAAUACCCGGUUGGGAUGACGGUACCCAAAGAAUAAGCACCGGCUAACUUCGUGCCAGCCGCCGCCGUAA
rnacentral:rRNA from 1 species